GACAGCUCUGCAGAUGGGCCUCACCCUGCCCAGCUCCUGCUGAUUUGCAUGUCCCCAGAGCACAGACUUUAAUAGGCUGCUCACAGGCUGUGCAGGAGUCGGUCCCAGUCAGGACACAGCAUGGACAUGAGGGUCCCCGCUCAGCUCCUGGGGCUCCUGCUGCUCUGGCUCCCAGGUUCCCGAUGUGACAUCCAGAUGACCCAGUCUCCAUCCUCGCAUUCUGCAUCCAUAGGAGACACAGUCAGCAUCAGGUGCAAGGCCAGUCAGAGCGUAGGUAGUGCUUUAGCCUGGUAUCAGCAGAAACCAGGGAAAGCUCCUAAACAACUGAUCUAUGGUGCAAGAAAUUUAGGAUCUGAGGUCCCACCGAGGUUCAGUGGCAGUGGAUCUGGGACAGAUUUCACUCUCACCAUCAGCAGUGUGGAACCUGAAGAUGUUGGAACUUAUUACUGUCAGCAGUAUAAUAGUUACCCUCCCACAGUGAUACAAACCAUGACAUAA